CAUCUCACACCAUACACUACGCCUUUCCUGAGUUGGCCUUAUCCAACAGCACUGCUCUUAGAUCUGGGGUCCCAUCCUGGUUGGGGCACCUGGAGAUACCCACUCCUAUAUCUUUCAUUUCUGGUCCAAUCCCAGAGUGGCAGCUCCUUCCAAUGCCCAUAUUGUCCCAGCAAUGAGGCUUCUAUCCCAGGACCCAGAAUUCCAUGCCUCUACUGAGCAUCUGCCCAUAAGAUAAGGUUCAGGCAGAGGGCUUGGAUUUGAAAUAACUGGUCACUCUCAAGGUCAAAGUCUUGGUGUUUGGUCUCUUUUCCUGUCUGGUGCUUUUCCAUGAUACCUCAACACAUAGUUAGCAAGCCAGAAACUAGUCUCCAUCUUGGCUACUUAGGACCAAGUUCCCUUGCCAUCUUUAUGCUAACCCUGUGUGUAUUUCCUUCUCCCCACGCAAAAUGCCUUCUGCUUUCCUGGGGGAAAGCAACCAUUUCCUUGGGGCCUGCCUGCACCCUGCUCCCCCAAAACGCCCCCUCCGAUCUAUAGUGUAUGCUCUGUUCUGGAGCCAGAAUUAUCUUAGAUGUCUUCACUUCUGAGUAAGUUCCACUUGACUUUCAGCUCUCAUCUUGUAGGUCAAGGAGCUGCCAACGAACAGCUGAGGAGCCAUGCUUGGACCACUCUCACCCUUCCACUGUGAACACGCAAUUCCUAUGAUCUCUACCAGACACCGAUGGGGUCUGUCCUAGGGAUGACGACGAGUGAGCAGCAGAUUAGAUGGGCCAGAUGCAGGACUAGUUCUUGCUGAAUGAGUAAAGGAUCUGACAGACAGUGUCCCUCUGAGAAUAGAAGCUACAUCUUAAAAUCGGAGACCAAUAGGACACAAGAAGGCUUAGGACCAGAGCAGAUUUGUCCAGGACAGCAACAUGGAGCCCUUACUGCUCCUGAUAUGCCGAGAGUCCCCUCCCCUUUCUCGGAUCCCUCUUGGCACCCCCACACUUGCCUAGUCUUCUCUGCAAAUAGAUGUGGCUACACACGAGAACUUUUGCCCUAGAACUACAGGACUCUACAGAAGAUAAAAGGCAUGAACUGUGUCUGCAUUUUCUCUGCACCACUUUCUUGUUUCCUGGAAUGUCAAAGCAGUGAGUAGAGUUCCUGACCUCCAUGUUGGUUCGGGAGGCAACUUUGGGAGCUAAAAGAAAUAAAAAGAUUGCAGAUCAGAGGACUAAAAGGAGC
rnacentral:lncRNA from 1 species